CAUGUCUCUUUCUCAUUAGAUCAGACAUAUACCGAAUUUUGUUCUGUUCCUUAAUUAAGAGAUCAACUAUGCGUAGUUGCGUACUCAUCUUCGCGACCUGAUUUUUUAUGUCGUGCAUAGGGACUUUACUUUACAACGAACCUAUACGGUGGUUUUAGUUCGAAUACUAAACAUUGCAGCACACAGUUAAUGUUUUUGCAAGACGUGACUAAGUUUUUAUCCACCUGUCCACAUGUGUUUCGCCUUGUAUGAUCGUAUCCACCCUAAAACCGGCACCAGAAAACUGAUUUCGUAGGGAAUUUGAAAAAAUUGGUCGUUUGCGCGCUCCUUUGUUUCCUUACC